rnacentral:misc_RNA from 1 species
UCACUACUUGCGUAGGCAGUUGAAAUAGAGUUCCCGCCAUUACGCGCUGGCAACUAUUUCCAGGGGUUGCGCUCGUUGCUGGACUUAACCAAACACCUCACGGCACGAGCUGACGACAGCCAUGCAGCACCUGUACCGCCCCCCUUGCGGGUACCCUGCUUUCACAGGUUUAGACGGCUUUUCAAGCCUAGGUAAGGUUCUUCGCGUUGCAUCGAAUUAAACCACAUACUCCACUGCUUGUGCGGGCCCCCGUCAAUUCCUUUGAGUUUCACCCUUGCGAGCGUACUCCCCAGGUGGUACACUUAACGCGUUAGCUCCGACACCUACCCUGAGGGCAGAUAUCAAGUGUACAUCGUUUAGGGCAUGGACUAC